rnacentral:lncRNA from 1 species
CUCAUCAAUGAAUCUCAAUUCAAUCUCUAGACAUACAUGUUGUAAGCCACAUCACAAGAGAUAAUAACAUACAUGCAUAAGAAUAAUCAUAUGGACCCAUAACAUCAUUAGCCGACAUAGGCCAAUUUACAUGACUAAUACUACCUUAAUAACAGGCCGAUACCUUUGGCUAAAUCAUAAUAUUACAUACUCACAUUAAAACCCUAUACAUGCCAUAGACUUGAAUCACUUGAGUUUACUUACACCAAUAGCGCUAACUCGACAGUGUGAUAAUAUCUCUGACGACCUCCAAACCGAGCUAACCUGGCAACUCUAGAAAACAUGGGAAAGAAGGGGGGGUAAGCUUUCGCUUAGUAAGUUCAUAUGAAAACAAUAAGCAACUCAUUAGCUUGUUUUAUCAAUGUUUACAACAUAUUCUCAAGUUCACUACAAGCUGUCUUUCUGAGCAAUAGUCACUAAAUUAUUUAUAUCUGGAGCUACAAAACUCCGAAUUAAGUUCCGUUAAUUUUUCAUGAAACUAGACUUAUUUUUAUUUCUUCCAUAAAAUUUCCAGAAUUUUUGGUUAAGCCAAAUAGUACAGUUUAUUCCUCAAAAUUACCCCUGAUUCACUGUCUGAUAGUUCCGACCCUUCUGUACUAAAGUUCAAUUAUCUCAUAGUACAAGACUCGAAUAAUGUUCUCGUCUAUUUCUCUUGAAACUAGACUCAUAUGUCUACAUACUAAUUGUUUUCUAGAAUUUUUGGUUGGGCCAAUUAGUACAGUUUAUUAGUUAAAGUCUCCCCUGUUUCAGGGUAUGACCACUCUGACCCCUGUGCACUACGAACUGAAUUUCUCCCUGUACAGAAUUCCAACAACCAUGCCGUUUAUUUCCCCUAAAAAUAGACUCAAUAAGGAAUCCAUGCAUGUAAGGUAUGACUCUUAAUAAUUUUUUUAUUUUUUGGUGAAUUUCUAAAUUCAGAACAGGGGAUCUCGAAUUCAUUCAGACCCUGUUUCACAAGAAUUCAAAUAUCACACAAUAUGGAAUUCUUUUUCUUCCCCUGUUUCUUUCAUGUGAAAGUAGACUCAUUAAGCUUUAAUCCCAUAUUUUAUUCUGCCUCUAACUCAUUUUCCACUAUUUUUAGUGUAUUUUCAAAGUUACACUACUGCAGUAACUCAAAUCUGUCAAGGCUAAAUUACUCAUUCAUAUCACAUUUUCAUUUACCAUCUUACCAUUUUGUUGUUAUGUCGAGUUUUCAACCCGAGGGUUAAGUACAUACCUGUUCAAAGUAUCCAUUUCACAACAUUUAUCAAUACGUCCCUUUCAUCUCGAGUAUUCCUCCAUUUGAGUAGAAUUUUACCCGUUGAACACAUCGGAAUAUAAUUCGGAUACAUGGAAAGUUUGAGCAUAAGUGCCACAUAUGUAGCCAAGCUACCAUGUAACCCGCCCAUAAGUGAACUCGGACUCAACUCAACGAGUUCGGGCGUUCACAUCCAUAAGUGAACUCGGACUCAACUCAACUAGCUCGGAUGCCUAGUUACAUCUUACAAACUCGGACUCAACUCAAUGAGUUCGGACAUUCGCAUCCAUAAGUGAACUCGGACUCAACUCAAUGAGCUCGGAUGCCUAGUUACAUCUCACGAACUCGGACUCAACUCAACGAGUUCGGACAUUCGCAUCCAUAAGUGAACUCGGACUCAACUCAACAAGUUCGGAUGCUUAACCAUCCUAGUGACAUGUCACUUGUAUCCUAAUCUAUUCCUAAGGUUCAAACGGGAUUUUCCUCGAACACAUAUCUUUGCCAUCUUCCGUAAAAUACCGAAACCAAUACUCGAUAGCACUUUAUAUUUAACAGAUAAUACACAUAACUUUCAUUUUAUUCGAAAAUAACCACAAAGCAUAUAUUUCAUGAUAAAAAUCAGCAUAUCAUAUAUAUAACAUCAAUAACUUAAAAAUAACAAUUAUGCUACAUUAUUUACACAUGAACUUACCUCGAUACCACAAAGGUGAAAAAAGACGUAAUUAUCCCUUAAUCGAUUUCUUUCCGUUCUAGGUCCAAAUCUCGAUUUUCAUCAUCUAAAAUAUCACAUUCAACUUAUCAAAACAAUGUACUGAUCAAAUUAGUUCAUUGACACACUUGGGCAAUUUUUACAAUUUUGCCCCUAUAUUUUGCCAAAAUUACCAAAUUACCCCUAGGCUCGUAAAAAUAAUUUUUAUCACAUUUCUUUACUCCUUAGUCUAGAUGAACCAUUUUCAUAACUAUAGCAACUCAUAAUUUCAACUAUUUCACACAUUUACAACUCAUUUUACAACUUAGCAAUUUAGCCUUUUUAAAGGUAUUUUCAUGCAAUUUCUUUCACAAAAGUUGUUUAUUAGACAACUAGGACUCAUAAUCUUCCAUAAAAACACAGCAAACAACACAUUUACUCUCAUGGUAAAACCCUAGACUCUUCAUCAUUUUGCAAAAUAAUCCCCUCUUAUGAAAGCUUAUGCUUUAGGGGUUCCAAAAAUACAAAAAUCAUCAAGCAAAGACAUUAAAAUCACUUACAAGCAAGGGAAAUAUGUUGCUGAAAUUUUCCAGCUUCAAAACCCUUUCUUUGCUGCAUAUUUAGGUGAAGGGAAAG